rnacentral:lncRNA from 1 species
AGAAAUCAAAGGUUACAUGUGGGUCCUUUAAUGGACACAUACCAGUCUUACUUUCGCCUCCCCAAGGGCACUGGUAAUAAUAUAUGGAUUCUGUUGGAGAUAGAGUAUCACACAAGUAUUGGAUGAAAUAUUUACCCAGCAAACAACCUUACUGAUUGAGUGUCUCAGCCCAGACAAUGGGCCCCUGCCUCCAGGAGUGUGCGACUGAAAUAAAUCCACUGACUUGAGCA